CUUCACAGAAGUAGAGCAAGACCAGAGAGAACCCUGGGAGUAGUUGUAAGCUGCCAUGUGGGCACUGCUCCCCGAAAGAGCGGUCAUAUCCAGAAAAGAUACUCCCAAGAAUGGCUCUCAGGGAAGAUACUACAGUUUAAUUGCCUACAUGAAGGAAGAGGCAAUUACAGCAGAGCUAUUGGAGUUUCGGUAUGUACCACUGCUUUUUGUCUGAGUCGUUUAUCCAGACGAGGGCCACGCUCUGCAACUCUAGAACAAGGACUCGCUACUCUUUGCUUCCAACAAAUCCCAACACCUGUCCCUAGGAAGGCUGAAGGUUCAGAUCCUUUCCAACUACCCGCUCCGAACUUCCCAAACCAGGCUUUUAGGUGGUGAACGUGUCGGCUUAGCGAAGCUGCAGUACCAGGUCCUGCCACGAGAGGACACGGAGCCGCCGGACACCCCCUCUUCAAUCAAAUCUGCAAGAGGUCAAAGGCGCCCCCUCCUCUAAGCUGAGUCUGCAUCUGCGCGCGCAGCUGGAAGUCCUCCGCAAUCCUCACCUCCAAACGGGCUCCUUUUUCCUCCGAAAGGUGAUCUGGAAGUACCCGGAGGUCUUAAGUGAUUAAUGAUUGCCAGUCAUAACGGACGGCAGCGUUUAAAG
rnacentral:lncRNA from 1 species